rnacentral:rRNA from 1 species
UACGUAGGGGGCAAGCGUUGUCCGGAUUCAUUGGGCGUAAAGAGCGUGUAGGCGGCCAGGUAGGUCGGUUGUGAAACUGGAGGCUCAACCUUCAGAGGUCGACCGAAACCAUCUGGCUAGAGUCCGGGAGAGGAGAGUGGAAUUCCUGGUGUAGCGGUGAAAUGCGCAGAUAUCAGGAAGAACACCCGUGGCGAAAGCGGCUCUCUGGAACGGUACUGACGCUGAGACGCGAAAGCGUGGGAGCGAACAGG